AAUGAACGUUGGCGGCGUGGAUUAGGCAUGCAAGUCGUGCGAGAACCGUAGCAAUACGGGGACAGCGGCGAAAGGGAGAGGAAUACGUGGAUACCUACCCUCAGGUUCAGGAUAGCCAUGGGAAACUAUGGGUAAUACUGAAUAAUAUCUCCGGAUCAAAGGUGUGAUUCCACCUGAGGAGGGGUCCGCGUCCUAUUAGCUAGUUGGUGAGGUAACGGCUCACCAAGGCGAAGAUGGGUAUGGGAUGUGAGAGCAUGAUCCCACUCACUGGGACUGAGACACUGCCCAGACACCUACGGGUGGCUGCAGUCGAGAAUCUUCGGCAAUGGGGGCAACCCUGACCGAGCGACGCCGCGUGCGAGAUGAAGGCCUUCGGGUUGUAAAUCGCUGUCAGAGGGGAGGAAAUGCUAGUGGGUUCUCCCACUAGUUUGACCUAGCCUCAGAGGAAGGACGGGCUAAGUUCGUGCCAGCCGCCGCGGUAACAC
rnacentral:rRNA from 1 species